CUGGCCCACUCUCUCCCCCUCCCCUCGACCCCCCAUAUCCCACCUCCUCCUCGCUCUCUCUCGAUCCCCUGCAGUUCCAGCCGCCGCUCGCCUCCAUCCUCUCCCCAACCCCGGUCGGCCUCCACUCCACUCCACCGCAGGCGCCAACCCAACCACCGCUGCCCUCUUUGCCUCCUCUCCUAACACCCAAGAACAAGAGAGGGGGAGAGAGCCGAUAGCCAGAUCCACUCACCAAGUCCCUCUCCGUCGCCGCCAUCUAGAUCUAGGCCGGACGAUUCCGGCGGCACGCAGCACACUCAUGUGCUCACCUCGCGCCUCGCUCGAUCCCGUAGUCCUCCUCCGUCUCCUCACCUAAUGACUAAUCUCCACCUCGGUUGGAUCUCGGUCGCGUGGUUGGUGCAGGAUCCGCGUCGGCUGGUGGCGACGGAAACACGUGGCGCACCGGGUGGACAACGACUCCGGCGUCCGGUGUCGGCAAGUCCAACGUCCUCUCCAGCUUCACCUGCAACGCAUUCUACCUCGAGUCCAAGUCCACCAUCGGUGUCGAGUUUGCCAGCUGGACCCUCCUCGUGAGUACUCACCACCAUUGACAGGCCGGCAUCCAGGUCGAGCACAGCAUCCAGGCUCGUCCAUGGACUAGAUUUUCAAGUAUAGCCCCAUCCAUUGCGUCGACCUGGAGUCAGGUGAAUGGAGCUUGUGUUGUUGGUAGAACUUCGUUGAUGACUUCUUCCUAUGUUGAAGAGCAUGUUCCGUGGUAUCCAAGAGUAGAUAGAUUUACACUGGUAGAGCAUUUUAUUUAUCGAUCAUAAUGUUUGUGAUUGUGUGGAAUAUUGUAUGGUUAUCUACGUGAAGUUUGAAGUUCCUAGGCAUGCAAUAUUUGAUGGUUAAACUGGUUGUUGUGAUGUGAACCAGUGUAUGGAGUCUCACAUGUUUUGUCUGUACAGAAUAUAUUGUAAUAAACCUAUUUUGGUUGUUAUUUGAAGAUUUUC